UGGGCCCGGGUUCACUGGGGCACGGCUUCUGCGCAGUGUCUGCACCCGGGUACCGGCCCAGGCCCUGUGCGUACCGUUGCGAGGCCCCUGACCCGGAACAACCUUCUUGCUUCCUGCGUGAGUUCCCUCCAAAACGGACUGGAAUCCACCCUGUCCCACCUCCUCUGCGAUUCUGCAGUCUCUGGACUACGGCUGGGCCCACAGCACCAAGCACCUGGAGACCUGGACCUCAGAGCUCUGCACUGGCCAGUGAGGAUAACCUGUUUUGCUUCCUGAAAAUAUCCCUCUCUUCUGAAAGCUUGUAGAAAACCCUCAGUAAAUGUUUGUAAACUCAUAAUAAAUGAMUAGAUGUUUGGAUAAGCAGACAGACUGGUCACCCCCUUCCUCACUCUGAAUAAUUACAUGGUCAUACAGGCAAUGAGAUGGACAUUUAUUAAACAUUUAUUCACCACUUUCAAGCCUCCCUAAUCCCUGAGUUAUGCAUUUUUUUCUAUCAGGAAACUAAGGCACAGUGAGGUUCAGAGACUGUCAUCUCUUAUGUAGCUGGUCCCAGGGUUCAUUUGGGAUUUAAAUUAAGGCUACAAGCUCUAGAGCCAGUUUGGAGACAGGCUGCGAGAGCUGGGACUUCUGAGCCAUUCUGGAGACUCUGGAGACAGGCCCGUGGUGAGGCCUGUCCAACAGGGACAGGCAGGGACCUGCUCUGAAGCAGUUUCUCUGGCUUUAUCCUGUGGUCGGCUCCACUUUAUGAAAACAAGAUGAUGUCCAAACCGGACAAGUGACUUCAGCUCUCCAGGAGUGCACGCCACCUCUGUGUUGCUGUGACCAAAGUGCUUGAUGGGAGCAACCCAGAGGAGGAAGUCUGUUUUGUGCCCAGGGUCUAGGUCCUUGGUUGGCCGACUCCACUGCUCUGGGCCCAAGGUGAGGCAGAACAUCCGGGUGGGGGGAAGGGAUGGCAGAGGGAAGCCGCUCAGCUCACCGCAGCUGGGAAGCAGAGGGAGGGGGGGAGGAGCCAGGGGCAAGCUAUAUCCCCAAGCCAUGCCCCAGUGACCCGGCCUGCAGGUAAAUAGCAGUGUGCAUCCUAACCAUUCCUCCAUGGCAGGGGUCAAGCUACAGCUCUCAUGACCUAACCAUCUCGCCCUGACCGUGCCUGCAGUGCAAGCGCUUUCAGGAGACCUCUUAGAGCCAGAAGACCAGCCAGAGGCGAGAGGUGACCAGAGGCUCGAGGAAUUUCCUUCCAGUGGCUGAUGCUGCUAGAAUGGCGGACACUGGGCUGGGGCUGUGGUUCAUGAGACAGCCCGGCCUUGUAGGCAGAAAGCCUGGGUUCCACCC